rnacentral:rRNA from 1 species
GAUGAACGCUGGCGGCGUGCCUAAUACAUGCAAGUCGAGCGAACAGACGAGGAUCUUGCUCCUCUGACGUUAGCGGCGGACGGGUGAGUAACACGUGGAUAACCUACCUAUAAGACUGGGAUAACUUCGGGAAACCGGAGCUAAUACCGGAUAAUAUAUUGAACCGCAUGGUUCAAUAGUGAAAGACGGUUUUGCUGUCACUUAUAGAUGGAUCCGCGCCGCAUUAGCUAGUUGGUAAGGUAACGGCUUACCAAGGCAACGAUGCGUAGCCGACCUGGGAGGGUGAUCGGCCAAACUGGAACUGAGAAACGGUCCAGACUCCUACGGGAGGCAGCAGUAGGGAAUCUUCCGCAAUGGGCGAAAGCCUGACGGAGCAAAGGCGCGGGAGUGAUGAAGGUCUUCGGAUCGUAAAACUCUGUUAUUAGGGAAGAACAAAUGUGUAAGUAACUAUGCACGUCUUGACGGUACCUAAUCAGAAAGCCACGGCUAACUACGUG